CCUACGGGUGGCUGCAGUGGGGAAUAUUGGACAAUGGGGGCAACCCUGAUCCAGCCAUGCCGCGUGUGUGAAGAAGGCCCUCGGGUUGUAAAGCACUUUCAGUGAGGAAGAACGCCUGGUGGUUAAUACCCAUCAGGAAAGACAUCACUCACAGAAGAAGCACCGGCUAACUCCGUGCCAGCAGCCGCGGUAAUACGGAGGGUGCGAGCGUUAAUCGGAAUUACUGGGCGUAAAGCGCGCGUAGGUGGCUUGAUAAGCCGGUUGUGAAAGCCCCGGGCUCAACCUGGGAACGGCAUCCGGAACUGUCAAGCUAGAGUGCAGGAGAGGAAGGUAGAAUUCCCGGUGUAGCGGUGAAAUGCGUAGAGAUCGGGAGGAAUACCAGUGGCGAAGGCGGCCUUCUGGACUGACACUGACACUGAGGUGUGAAAGCGUGGGUAGCAAACAGGAUUAGAUACCCUAGUAGUC
rnacentral:rRNA from 1 species